rnacentral:rRNA from 1 species
UACGUAGGGGGCUAGCGUUGUCCGGAUUUAUUGGGCGUAAAGAGCGUGUAGGCGGCCAUGUAGGUCCGGUGUGAAAACUCGAGGCUUAACCUCGAGAUGUCAUCGGAAACCAUUUGGCUAGAGUCCGGAAGAGGAGAGUGGAAUUCCUGGUGUAGCGGUGAAAUGCGCAGAUAUCAGGAAGAACACCAAUGGCGAAAGCAGCUCUCUGGGACGGUACUGACGCUGAGGAGCGAAAGCGUGGGGAGCAAACAGG